rnacentral:rRNA from 1 species
UACAGAGGGGGCAAGCGUUAUUCGGAAUUAUUGGGCGUAAAGGGCGCGUAGGCGGCUUGGCAAGUGGAUGGUGAAAUCCCUCGGCUUAACCGGGGAACUGCGUCUGAUACUGGAUGGCUUGAGUUUGGGAGAGGGAUGCGGAAUUCCAGGUGUAGCGGUGAAAUGCGUAGAUAUCUGGAGGAACACCGGUGGCGAAGGCGGCAUCCUGGACCAACACUGACGCUGAGGAGCGAAAGCCAGGGGAGCAAACGGG